GACGAACGCUGGCGGCGUGCUUAACACAUGCAAGUCGAACGGAAAGGCCCUGCGUUUGUGGGGUGCUCGAGUGGCGAACGGGUGAGUAACACGUGAGUAACCUGCCCUUGACUUUGGGAUAACUUCAGGAAACUGGGGCUACUACCGGAUAGGAUCUCCUGCUGCAUGGUGGGGGUUGGAAAGUUUCGGCGGUUGGGGAUGGACUCGCGGCUUAUCAGCUUGUUGGUGGGGUAGUGGCUUACCAAGGCUUUGACGGGUAGCCGGCCUGAGAGGGUGACCGGCCACAAUGGGACUGAGAUACGGCCCAGACUCCUACGGGAGGCAGCAGUGGCGAAUAUUGCACAGUGGGCGGAAGUCUGAUGCAGCAACGCCGCGGGCGGGAUGACGGCCUUCGGGUUGUAAACCGCUUUCGCCUGUGACGAAGCGUGAGUGACGGUAAUGAGUAAAGAAGCACCGGCUAACUACGUG
rnacentral:rRNA from 1 species